rnacentral:rRNA from 1 species
GUGUCAGCCGCCGCGGUAAUACGAAGGGGGCUAGCGUUGCUCGGAAUUACUGGGCGUAAAGGGCGCGUAGGCGGCACUGUUAGUCAGGCGUGAAAGUCCUGGGCUCAACCUGGGAACUGCGCUUGAUACGGCAGAGCUAGAGGAUGGAAGAGGGUCGCGGAAUUCCCAGUGUAGAGGUGAAAUUCGUAGAUAUUGGGAAGAACACCGGUGGCGAAGGCGGCGACCUGGUCCAUUACUGACGCUGAGGCGCGACAGCGUGGGGAGCAAACAGGAUUAGAAACCCCUGUAGUCC